CAGCAGGGUGGAUCGUCAUCUCAACAAAAUUAUGGAAGUAGCCAGGGUGGAUCAACAUCUCAACAAAGUUAUGGAAGCAGGCCGGGUGGCUCAUCAUCCCAACAAAAUUAUGGAAGUAAUCAGGGUGGAUCAUCGUACCAGCCAAGUUAUGGAGGCAGCCAGG